GAUGAAGAACGCAGCGAAAUGCGAUAAGUAAUGCGAAUUGCAGAUUUCAGUGAGUCAUCGAAUCUUUGAACGCACAUUGCGCCCGCCAGUAUUCUGGCGGGCAUGCCUGUUCGAGCGUCAUUUCAACCAUCAAGCCCCCGGGCUUGCGUUGGGGCCCUGCGGCUGCCGCAGGCCCCGAAAAGCAGUGGCGGGCUCGCUGUCACACCGAGCGCAGUAGCGAUUCUCGCUCCGGGCGUCGGCGGCGGGCACCGGCCGUGAAACCCCCCACAUCCACAAGGUUGACCUCGGAUCAGGUAGGAAUACCCGCUGAACUUAAGCAUAUCAAUAAGCGGAGGA
rnacentral:misc_RNA from 1 species